AUUGCACUUCUAAACCCGGACGGAAGCCAGGAGAACAGCGCAUAUUCCCACGUUUACCCCAAUGGCCAACAUGCGACACUCUGGAUGCAGGUAGUAGCACUGCUGUCACAACGACUUUGAUGUAGCUUUAUUGAGAUAUUAUAUUAUGAAAUGAUGUUGAGAGCGCUUCAAUGAUACUAGUAUGGUUCUCUAGCAAUAUAAGUGGGUCAGGGGGAGAAGGCAGGAUAUUAUAGACAUGAUAUAAGACUG
rnacentral:sRNA from 2 species